UUUUUGUUGUUGUUGUUGUUUUUGUUUUGUUUUGUUUUGUUUUUUUGCAUCAGUGGAGAUUGGUACUAAGUGGUUGCAUAGCUGUGACUAGGGCUAUGACUAAAUCAAAUGCCAGCUUAUUACAAGACAUAAGGAAUCCAUUAAAGUGGCUCAAGCAUGAAUUUCACAUAGAAUUGUGGCUCUGCAGAUGGUGAAGAAUCCUAAGAAUGCAUCAGCAGGUAGCUAUAGCACAGAUGAGAGAAUGGGAGUGGACAGUCUAUGAACAGGAGCAAGAUUGAAGAGUCGCUAACUGCAGCAUUGAUAGGACAUGAGGAAGGCCAUAGGUUUUAAAUCAGAAGAUAACAGGCGAAAGCUAAUGACACUAGAAGUGAGAUUAACUGAGAUUAAUUUCUCCAACUUCCGUUUUGCUACCUUCACUUCAAUUGUUAACAAGCAAUUUCCAUCAGCUUUAGUGUGAAAUGGAUCAGCCAAUAUGAAUGCAUAUUGUGAAUGACUCACCCUGUAUCAACUGUCUAUACAUGAGUAAAGCCACAUGUCCCCACACUGCUGAUAGUCUUUAUUAUGGGCUUUCUUUAAGACAUCGGAGAAAGGGCCAAGAGAACCGGGUUUACUUAUCAUGGACACGAAAAGAUGGAUGGCAACUGUGCAGAAGAUAAAGCCAGGCUUUUCUCAGAGGUGCACUAAGAGAGAAUGACGCAACAGAUGCAACUGGAAAUUCUGCUGGAAAUACCUGGAUUAGCACUGGAAAAUGUUGUCUGUAGAACCUCCAGUGUAGGGGAUUUUCAAAACUCAGCUGAACAAGGUUGUGAACAACCUGAUCUACAGUUGGAGUUCAUCCUGCUUUGAGCAGGAGGUUGGACUUGGUCUUGGUGGCUUUCAGAGGUCCCAGAGGGAUAUUUAUAAAUAAACAGCAGCAGAAUGACUAACAGAUUAGAAAGAAGAGCUUUUGUUACAGACAACAUCGCUGCAAAUAAUAUUAACUUCACACACUAAUAUAGUGCAAGUUACUUUAAACAAGUAUGACACUGUCAGACAUACAGGCCCAUUAAAACAUUGGAACUCUUGCUAGUACAUUUGCUAAUAAUCUUGUACACUGGACUUAUUUCAACUCAUUAGAAGCUUUAUAAGCUCAUUUUUAUAAUAUUUAUAACUAUACUUCAUGGAAAAAAAAAUGGACUACACUUCUGGAAGAAAAAGAUAAUCUGAGAAUUAAUUAAAAAAUAAAUCUUUUUAACUAUUAAAAAAAAAAAAAAGAAGUUUAACAAAAGCUAAAGAAUGUCUUAAAGAUAGACCUUGAUCAAUCCUUCACUUCAGCUGUGUUAGGUCUCUUGACAAUAAUUUGCUUUAGUUCUGAUGAGAGGUCCAUCUAAAAGUGUGUGGGCAAGCUGAGUAGUUUAGAGACACUUCAGAUAUGUUCAGAAAUGUUCAUAACCAAAGCACAGGCUUUCAGGAUACUGUUCUGCCCUGGUAUCUCUGUUUAUUCAUUACAAGUGUGAGUAUGUUACCAAUGAAAUAUAACUAGUUCUGUGCAACACCUUAAACCACUUUUUUCAUCUUUGCUCAAAUUGUGUCCUCCUGAAAUUUUGAUACAGCGACUUUCUUCUCAUGUGGUAAAAGUUGUAUCAUAUAAUAUUAUCAAUUACAUUCCCAAAUUGUAACAAAAUGAAUUCUGGAUGUAUUACACAUCCAAUAAAAAG
ensembl:lncRNA